rnacentral:rRNA from 1 species
UGUGGGGGGACCAGUGGCGAACGGGUGAGUAACACGUGAGUAACCUGCCCUUGACUCUGGGAUAAGCCUGGGAAACCGGGUCUAAUACUGGUAUACUCACCUUCCCAGCGCAUGCGGUGUUGGUGGAAAGCUUUUGCGGUUUUGGAUGGACUCGCGGCCUAUCAGCUUGUUGGUGGGGUAAUGGCCUACCAAGGCGACGACGGGUAGCCGGCCUGAGAGGGUGACCGGCCACACUGGGACUGAGACACGGCCCAGACUCCUACGGGAGGCAGCAGUGGGGAAUAUUGCACAAUGGGCGCAAGCCUGAUGCAGCGACGCCGCGUGAGGGAUGAAGGCCUUCGGGUUGUAAACCUCUUUCAGUAGGGAAGAAGCUGGCCUUUCGGGGUUGGUGACGGUACCUGCAGAAGAAGCGCCGGCUAACUACGUGCCAGCAGCCGCGGUAAUACGUAGGGCGCAAGCGUUAUCCGGAAUUAUUGGGCGUAAAGAGCUCGUAGGCGGUUUGUCGCGUCUGCCGUGAAAGUCCGGGGCUUAACCCCGGAUCUGCGGGUGGGUACGGGCAGACUAAAGUGCAGUAGGGGAGACUGGAAAUUCCUGGUGUAGCGGUGAAAUGCGCAAAUAUCAGGAGGAACACCGAAUGGCGAAGGCAGGUCUCUGGGCUGUAACUGACGCUGAGGAGCGAAAGCAUGGGGAGCGAACAGGAUUAGAUACCCUGGUAGUCCAUGCCGUAAACGUUGGGCACUAGGUGUGGGGGACAUUCCACGUUUUCCGCGCCGUAGCUAACGCAUUAAGUGCCCCGCCUGGGGAGUACGGCCGCAAGGCUAAAACUCAAAGGAAUUGACGGGGGCCCGCACAAGCGGCGGAGCAUGCGGAUUAAUUCGAUGCAACGCGAAGAACCUUACCAAGGCUUGACAUGAACCGGAAUGAUGCAGAGAUGUGUCAGCCACUUGUGGCCGGUUUACAGGUGGUGCAUGGAUUGUCGUCAGCUCGUGUCGUGAGAUGUUGGGUU